GACAGAGGUGCCGAGCGUUAGGCGGAAUCACUGGGCUUAAAGCGUGUGUAGGUGGAUGCCUAAGUACCUUGUGAAAUCCCACGGCUUAACCGUGGAACUGCUUGGUAUACUGGGUGUCUUGAGCCAGCUAGGGGCUACCGGAACAAAUGGUGGAGCGGUGAAAUGCGUAGAUAUCAUUUGGAACGCCAAUGGUGAAAACAGGUAGCUGGGGCUGUGCUGGACCAUAACUGACACUCAGGGACGAAAGCUAGGGGAGCGAAUGGG
rnacentral:rRNA from 1 species